rnacentral:rRNA from 1 species
UACGAAGGGGGCAAGCGUUGUUCGGAAUUACUGGGCGUAAAGGGCGCGUAGGCGGCCAUCUUUGUCAGGUGUGAAAGCCCUGGGCUCAACCCGGGAACUGCACUUGGGACGGGGUGGCUUGAGUUCGGGAGAGGAGAGUGGAAUUCCCAGUGUAGAGGUGAAAUUCGUAGAUAUUGGGAAGAACACCGGUGGCGAAGGCGGCUCUCUGGACCGAUACUGACGCUGAGGCGCGAAAGCGUGGGGAGCAAACAGG